rnacentral:rRNA from 1 species
AUGACCGGGGAAAUCAAGAACCCCGACGGCGACAAGGCGGCGGCGGCGGCGGCGCCGGCCGAUGACGGCGGCGGAGCGGGAGGAGGAGGAGGAGGAGGAGGGGCCGGACAUGGCAAGAAGGGCGGCAAGAACAAGCUGUCCCUGGUCCCGCUCAUCUUCCUCAUCUUCUUCGAGGUCGCCGGCGGGCCCUACGGCGCCGAGCCGGCGGUGCAGUCGGCGGGGCCCCUCUUCGCGCUGCUCGGCUUCUUGAUCUUCCCCUUCAUCUGGGCCAUCCCGGAGUCGCUCGUCACGGCCGAGCUCUCCACCGCGAUGCCCGGGAACGGCGGCUUCGUCGUCUGGGCGGACCGCGCCUUCGGCCCCGUCUCGGGCUCCCUCAUGGGCACCUGGAAGUACGUGUCGGGGGCCAUCAACGGCGCCGCCUUCCCCGCGCUCUGCGCCGACUACCUCGCCCGCGUCGUCCCCGCCGUGGCCGACGGCGGCGCGCGGGUGGCCACCAUCGUCACCUUCAACGUCGCGCUCUCCGUGCUCAACUACACCGGCCUCAGCGUCGUGGGGUGGUCCGCCGUGGCGCUGGGGGUCGCCUCGCUGUCGCCGUUCGUGCUCAUGUCCGGCAUCGCGCUGCCCAAGAUCCGGCCGCACAGGUGGGCGGCCACCGCCGGCGACAAGGACUGGAAGCUCUUCUUCAACACGCUGUUCUGGAACCUCAACUACUGGGACAGCGUGAGCACGAUGGCCGGCGAGGUGGAGAACCCCGGCAGGACGUUCCCGACGGCGCUCAUGUCGUCCGUGGCCAUGACGUCCCUCGGGUACCUGCUGCCGCUCAUGGCGGCCACCGGCGCCGUCGACGCGCCGCCGGAGCAAUGGGGGAACGGCUUCUUCGCCGACGCCGCAGGCACGAUCGCUGGCGACUGGCUCAAGUACUGGAUCGAGGUGGGCGCGGUGCUCUCCUCCAUCGGCCUCUACUCGGCGACACUAAGCAGUGCGGCAUUCCAGCUUCUUGGAAUGGCGGACCUAGGCCUCCUCCCCCGCGUGUUCGCGCUCCGCGCCCCAAUCUUCAAUACUCCCUGGGUCAGCAUCGUGGUCACCAGCCUCAUCACCCUCGGCAUGUCCUUCUUCAGCUUCAACAACAUCGUGGCCGCUGCCAACUUCCUCUACAGCCUUGGCAUGCUCCUCGAGUUUGCCACCUUCGUUUGGCUUCGGAUCAAACGGCCCGAGAUGUCGCGCCCCUACCGUGUACCGCUACGACUACCAGGCAUCGUUGUCCUCUGCCUCGUCCCCUCGGGGUUCCUUGUCUUCGUCAUGGCCAUCGCUGGCUGGAAGGUGUAUGCCAUCAGCGCUAUGUUCACUGCGGCAGGCCUCGGGGUGUAUUACCUCAUGAAGUUUUGUAGGGCGAGAGGGUUCCUCAAGUUUGGCACUGUUGAUGGCGAGGGUUUGAUGUAUGAGCGUCAUGAGGAGAGGGGAAAUGUCGGUGUUUGA